rnacentral:rRNA from 1 species
GACGAACGCUGGCGGCGUGCCUAAUACAUGCAAGUAGAACGCACAGUUUAUACCGUAGCUUGCUACACCAUAGACUGUGAGUUGCGAACGGGUGAGUAACGCGUAGGUAACCUGCCUGGUAGCGGGGGAUAACUAUGGGAAACGAUAGCUAAUACCGCAUAAUAUUAAUUAUUGCAUGAUAAUUAAUUGAAAGGUGCAAUUGCACCACUACCAGAGGGACCUGCGUUGUAUUAGCUAGUAGGUGAGGUAACGGCUCACCUAGGCGACGAUACAUAGCCGACCUGAGAGGGUGAUCGGCCACACUGGGACUGAGACACGGCCCAGACUCCUACGGGAGGCAGCAGUAGGGAAUCUUCGGCAAUGGACGAAAGUCUGACCGAGCAACGCCGCGUGAGUGAAGAAGGUUUUCGGAUCGUAAAGCUCUGUUGUAAGAGAAGAACGGGUGUGAGAGUGGAAAGUUCACACUGUGACGGUAUCUUACCAGAAAGGGACGGCUAACUACGUG